UCUGCCGGUCUUGAUGAUGUCUUCCUGGUAUUAUGACACGGGGCCAAUAUAUCAAUGCACGUUGCUUCCCACAUUAGGGAGCGUCCCCGUUCCCAGGAACACAGCGUUAAUCCAUCAGUAUUUAUUUACCUCUUAAUAAUAC